CAAAACAAAGUGCCAUGAAUAUAUUUUGUUUCGCGCGAAAACAAAGUGCCAAAAAAAUUUCAUUUCCCUCUCUGUGCCAUGAAUAUAUUUUGUUUCCUUCACUUUUAGACCCAUACUCGAAAACCCCCCAAACCCCAAACACAGAAACCCCAAUGGAGAGACCCAUACUCGGAAACCCCCAAACCCCAAAGGCAGAAACCCCAACGGAGAGACCCAAACUCAAACCUCAGUUAGCAUCAAAACCCCAAACGAGAGACCCAAACCCACGGUAGAGCCAUCUGCGGUUCUUCCGAGCUCCAUCGGAUACGGCUCCUCCCAUCUCCCUCUACACUUGCACGGCUGACUAUUAAGUUUUUGGCUGGUAUUGGUGGUGGUGGGCUUGGGUUCUUCGCUGUGAAAAUGUCACCGAUUCCACUCUCUUAAUUUACUAGCACAAUUUUUUUUUUAAUCGCAAUCGCAAUCCCUCUGCACUUGCACGGCUGAAUUUGAUUUGCUACAUUCAAGGUUCAUAAUUAAUCAAUCUCAGUUUCUUUAUUUGCUAAUUUUAAAUCUUUACCAUUGAUUUGUGAUGUUGCAUUUGAAACAAAUGGUCGAAUUGUUUAAAAAUAUAAGGGAGAUGAUGUUGCAUCACACAUUCUCUUUGUCUCUCGCCCAUUACUCGAUGACUGUGAUGAAGCCUAGACACCUCGUGUUGUGGCUCACUGU